GUGAUGCUCAACUGCUUAAGAUAUACUAUUCGAUUAACUGAAGCUCAAAUUCUAAUCGCAAUAAGAAGAUAUACAAACCCAGAAUACUCCAUGUGGCGUCAAGAUGUUGCAGAAGAUGUGCUUAAGGCAGUUUUCGCGGAUGGGAAUCAAAAAUCCAUUCCUGGAAUUGGAACCUAUGUGGGAAAUGAACCAAUCGCAAUGGCUAGCACAGUGCCGACCGUUAAGCUGAACAGUGGCCAUAGUAUUCCCAUACUUGGUCUUGGAACCUGGAAUAGUCCUCCUGGUCAAGUGGCUGAGGCGGUUAAGACGGCCAUUGAUGUUGGAUAUAGGCACAUUGAUUGCGCCUUUGUCUAUCAAAAUGAAGCUGAAGUCGGUGCUGGCAUCGAGGCCAAGAUCAAAGAAGGCGUGGUAAAGCGCGAGGAUCUGUUCAUUACAAGCAAGUUGUGGAACACCUUCCAUCGUCCAGAUGUGGUCAAAGCUGCUUGUCAGAAUACUUUGAAUCUGUUGAAGCUGAAAUAUCUGGAUCUGUACUUGAUCCACUGGCCCAUGGGUUAUAAGGAGGGCUCCGAACUGUUCCCAGUUGAUGCAAAUGGCAAAACUUUGUACUCGCCCGACGAUUACGUUGACACCUGGAAGGCCAUGGAGAAGCUGGUUGAGGAGGGUCUUGUUAAAUCCAUUGGCGUAUCGAAUUUCAAUAAAAAGCAAAUCGAACGAGUUUUGGCUGUUGCCAAAAUUCCCCCAGCUACAAAUCAGAUCGAAUGCCAUCCCUAUUUGACGCAGAAGAAACUUUCUGAAUUCUGCAAACAGAAUAACAUUACCAUUACCGCAUACAGCCCACUGGGCAGCCCAAAUCGCCCAUGGGCCAAGGAAGGUGAUCCGGUUAUUCUAGAAGAGAAAAAGAUCAAGGAAAUUGCUGCUGCCAAAAACAAGACACCCGGACAGAUUUUGAUACGCUAUCAGAUUCAACGGAAUCACAUUGUUAUACCCAAGUCGGUAACUAAGGAGCGUAUUGAAUCCAAUUUCAAAGUAUUUGAUUUCGAACUCACGCCCCAAGAGAUCGAAAUAAUUGAAAGCUUCGAAUGCAAUGGACGUCUGGUACCGCUGCUUAAGGAUGCUGGCGAUCAUGAACAUUAUCCAUUUAGCGAUGAAUAUUAAAUCAAAUCGCAGAGUUCUUUCAAUCUAUAUAAAUGAGAGGAAUAUCUGAAAUAUGAAUAAUCACAUAAUCAAAUAGUUAUGUAAAUAUUUCUGGCAAGAACUAACAACUGAGCAAUUCGAGAGGCAUAUACUCAACACGGUCAUCCACACCAUCCAUUUGAGAAGGAUGAAUACUAAUUCGGAAUGAGAUGUUUCAUGUCACUCUUGGAUAUUUUUAAACCCUAUAUAUAUAUAUCUAU
rnacentral:misc_RNA from 1 species